ensembl:snRNA U6 U6 spliceosomal RNA
GUCCUCUCUUCGGCAGCACAUAUACUAAACCUGGAAUGAUACAGAGAAGGUGAGCGUGGCACCGCACAAGGAUGACACUCACACUUGUGAGGCUUGUCUUCUGGCU